AGUCUCUCCUCCAAAUAUAAUUUAAUGAGUACGUAAAGUAAAUAAUAAUAUUGUAUUUAUAAUACAUAAUAUUAUCUUAACAGAUGCUCUUGAAAAAUCUGGAUACGUUGAAUGUAACACUGGUGAACAAAAUUACGUUAUUCUCGAGGUAGCAUUUCAACAACGUAAUACAUUAAUCGAUUUCAGCAAUUACUACACUAAAAGAGCAUAUUAUUUAAAUAUAAUUAAGGCAAUUCAUAAUACUGAAGAGAUAGCACAAGACUACUGUGUGAAGCUAUUAGAUGAACAUGACAUGUAUUUAAAGAAUGAAACACAAGCGAUGUCUAGUACAACUGAGUUUUGCAAAGACUAUAAGAAAUAAAGAUUAUACAUAAAUCACUUAAAAUAAUUAACUAAGAUCUAAAAAAUAAGUUGUAAAAUCAGAUUUUUUUAAACUAUUUGUUAUUAAUAUUGUUAAUAAAUUUAUUAAUAUUAGUUUUUACAAAAAUUCUGUAAUUUUUCAUAUACUAUUAUCAUGUAAUUAGAGUAUAAAUAAUUUAAAUAAUUUAAAAUAAUUUACUCAAAAUACUCAAAAUACUCAAGAAUUAGAAUAAACUAAUAAAAUAAUAUAAUAAUCAAUAAUUGUGUACUAAUAAAUCAAAUAGUUUUUUUUAUUGAAA